GAUGAACGCUGACAGAAUGCUUAACACAUGCAAGUCUACUUGAAUUCACUUCGGUGAUAGUAAGGUGGCGGACGGGUGAGUAACACGUAAAGAACUUGCCUUACAGUCUGGGACAACUAUUGGAAACGAUAGCUAAUACCGGAUAUUAUGCGAGAGUCGCAUGACUCUUGUAUGAAAGCUAUACGCGCUGUAAGAGAGCUUUGCGUCCCAUUAGCUAGUUGGUGAGGUAACGGCUCACCAAGGCCACGAUGGGUAGCCGGCCUGAGAGGGUGAACGGCCACAAGGGGACUAAGACACGGCCCUUACUCCUACGGGAGGCAGCAGUGGGGAAUAUUGGACAAUGGACCAAAAGUCUGAUCCAGCAAUUCUGUGUGCACGAUGACGGUCUUAGGAUUGUAAAGUGCUUUCAAUUGGGAAGAAAAAAAUGACGGUACCAAUAGAAGAGGCGACGGCUAAAUACGUGCCAGCAGCCGCGGUAAUACGUAUGUCGCAAGCGUUAUCCGGAUUUAUUGGGCGUAAAGCGCGUCUAGGUGGUUUGGUAAGUCUGAUGUGAAAAUGCGGGGCUCAACUCCGUAUUGCGUUGGAAACUGCCUAACUAGAGUAUCGGAGAGGUGGGCGGAACUACAAGUGUAGAGGUGAAAUUCGUAGAUAUUUGUAGGAAUGCCGAUAGAGAAGUCAGCUCACUGGACGAAUACUGACACUGAAGCGCGAAAGCAUGGGGAGCAAACAGGAUUAGAUACCCUGGUAGUCCAUGCUGUAAACGAUGAUUACUAAGCGUCGGGGGUCGAACCUCGGCACUCAAGCUAACGCGAUAAGUAAUCCGCCUGGGGGAGUACGUACGCAAGUAUGAAAACUCAAAGGAAUUGACGGGGACCCGCACAAGUGGUGGAGCAUGUGGUUUAAUUCGACGCAACGCGAGGAACCUUACCAGCGUUUGACAUCCCUAGGAAUGAGAAAGAGAUUCCUUAGUGCUCCUUCGGGAGAACCUAGAGACAGGUGGUGCAUGGCUGUCGUCAGCUCGUGUCGUGAGAUGUUGGGUUAAGUCCCGCAACGAGCGCAACCCCUAUUGUAUGUUGCCAUCAUUAAGUUGGGCACUCAUGCGAUACUGCCUGCGAUGAGCAGGAGGAAGGUGGGGAUGACGUCAAGUCAUCAUGCCCCUUAUACGCUGGGCUACACACGCGCUACAAUGGGCAGUACAGAGAGAAGCAAAUCUGCGAGGAGGAGCAAAUCUCACAAAGCUGUUCGUAGUUCGGAUUGUACUCUGCAACUCGAGUACAUGAAGUUGGAAUCACUAGUAAUCGCAAAUCAGCUAUGUUGCGGUGAAUACGUUCUCGGGUCU
rnacentral:rRNA from 1 species